UGGCAGAGCUACCAAAACAAAGUCUCUUUCAGGCAGUGGAAAACAAGAACUGAGACACAGAAACAGCUCCUCUCAGAAGAGAAGGUGUGGAGUCAUUACAAAGUGUCCCAAGACUGAGAAAUCAGGAUGGAGGAAAUGCUGGAAUUGGCAGUCAUGGUCCUGUGGCUGCAGCUUGGCUGGUUGAGUGGAGAAGACCAGGUGAAGCAGAGUCCUGAGAUGCUGAGACUGCAGGAGGGAGACAACAGCAGCCUCAGCUGCAGCUACACUGUCAGCUAUUUCAGAGGGGUACAGUGGUAUAGGCAAGAUCCCGGGAAAGGUCCUGAACUCCUCAUUGCGCUGUAUUCAGAUGGGGAUGACAAGUGGACAGGAAGGCUAAGAGCCACAUCCUCGAAGAAGGAAAGCACUCUGCACAUCACAGCCCCUAUGCCUGAAGACUCAGCCAUGUACCUCUGUGCUGUGGACACACAGUGCUCCCCGGGCACCUGCAGCUUGUGUCAAAGCCUGCCCAUGGGGCUCUGA